CCUACGGGAGGCAGCAGUGGGGAAUAUUGGACAAUGGGGGCAACCCUGAUCCAGCCAUGCCGCGUGUGUGAAGAAGGCCCUCGGGUUGUAAAGCACUUUCAGCGAGGAAGAACGCCUAGCGGUUAAUACCCGCUAGGAAAGACAUCACUCGCAGAAGAAGCACCGGCUAACUCCGUGCCAGCAGCCGCGGUAAUACGGAGGGUGCAAGCGUUAAUCGGAAUUACUGGGCGUAAAGCGCGCGUAGGUGGCUUGAUAAGCCGGUUGUGAAAGCCCCGGGCUCAACCUGGGAACGGCAUCCGGAACUGUCAAGCUAGAGUGCAGGAGAGGAAGGUAGAAUUCCCGGUGUAGCGGUGAAAUGCGUAGAGAUCGGGAGGAAUACCAGUGGCGAAGGCGGCCUUCUGGACUGACACUGACACUGAGGUGUGAAAGCGUGGGUAGCAAACAGGAUUAGAUACCCUGGUAGUCCACGCCGUAAACGAUGUCGACCAGCCGUUGGGUGCCUAGCGCACUUUGUGGCGAAGCUAACGCGCUAAGUAGACCGCCUGGGGAGUACGGCCGCAAGGUUAAAACUCAAAUGAAUUGACGGA
rnacentral:rRNA from 1 species